GCAUAUCAAUAAGCGGAGGAAAAGAAACUAACAAGGAUUCCCCUAGUAACUGCGAGUGAAGCGGGAAAAGCUCAAAUUUAAAAUCUGGCGCAAGCCCGAGUUGUAGUCUGUAGAAGCGUUUUCGGUCGUUGACUUGGACAAGUCCCUUGGAACAGGGCGUCAUAGAGGGUGAGAAUCCCGUCCUUGCCAAGUCCCAACGUCUGUGCGAUACGCCUUCUAAGAGUCGAGUUGUUUGGGAAUGCAGCUCAAAAUGGGUGGUAAAUUCCAUCUAAAGCUAAAUAUUGGCGAGAGACCGAUAGCGAACAAGUACCGUGAGGGAAAGAUGAAAAGAACUUUGGAAAGAGAGUUAAACAGUACGUGAAAUUGCUGAAAGGGAAGCGCUUGAAGUCAGUCGCGUUGGCAGGGACUCAGCCUUUAACGGUGCACUUCCUUGUCGACGGGCCAACAUCGAUUUCGGCCGCGGAAUAAGGGCACGAGGAAUGUGGCAGCUUCGGCUGUGUUAUAGCCUCGCGUCGCACGCCGCGGACGGGAUCGAGGACCGCGGCUUCGGCCUAGGAUGUGCUCCCAACGUCUGUGCGAUACGCCUUCUAAGAGUCGAGUUGUUUGGGAAUGCAGCUCAAAAUGGGUGGUAAAUUCCAUCUAAAGCUAAAUAUUGGCGAGAGACCGAUAGCGAACAAGUACCGUGAGGGAAAGAUGAAAAGAACUUUGGAAAGAGAGUUAAACAGUACGUGAAAUUGCUGAAAGGGAAGCGCUUGAAGUCAGUCGCGUUGGCAGGGACUCAGCCUUUAACGGUGCACUUCCUUGUCGACGGGCCAACAUCGAUUUCGGCCGCGGAAUAAGGGCACGAGGAAUGUGGCAGCUUCGGCUGUGUUAUAGCCUCGCGUCGCACGCCGCGGACGGGAUCGAGGACCGCGGCUUCGGCCUAGGAUGUG
rnacentral:rRNA from 1 species